UACUCGAGUGGCGAAAGGGCGAGGAAUACAUGGGCAACGUGCCUUCUGCACGAGGAUAACUGCGGGAAGCUGCAGUUAAUACUCGAUAAGACCACAGCACCUUCGGGUGCAGGGGUCAAAGGUGGGGACCUUCGGGCCUACCGGCAUUAGAGCGACCCAUGUCCUAUCAGCUUGUUGGUGAGGUAACGGCUCACCAAGGCGACGACGGGUACCGGGACUGAGAGGUUGACCCGGCGCAUCGGGACUGAGACACUGCCCGGACUCCUACGGGAGGCUGCAGUAACGAAUAUUCCGCAAUGGGCGAAAGCCUGACGGAGCGACGCCGCGUGUGGGAGGAAGCCCUUCGGGGUGUAAACCACUGUCAGGGAUUACCAAGCAAAGUUGGCGAAUAGCCUUCUGCGUUGAGGCGUCCCAGAGGAAGCCACGGCUAACUUCGUGCCAGCAGCCGCGGUAAUACGAAGGUGGCGAGCGUUGUUCGGAAUCACUGGGCUUAAAGGGCACGCAGGCGGACUGUCAAGCGUCUUGUGAAAGCCCCCGGCUUAACCGGGGAAUUGCUGGGCGAACUGGCAGUCUUGAGGCAGGUAAGGGCGAGCGGAACUCUUGGUGGAGCGGUGGAAUGCGUAGAUAUCAAGAGGAACGCCGGAGGCGAAAGCGGCUCGCUGGGCCUGACCUGACGCUGAGGUGCGAAAGCCAGGGGAGCGAACGGGAUUAGAUACCCCGGUAGUCCUGGCCAUAAACGAUGUCCACUAGAUCGGUGAACUUCUGACAGUGCGCCGGUCGAAACAAAAGCGUUAAGUGGACCGCCUGGGGAGUACGGUCGCAAGGCUAAAACUCAAAGGAAUUGACGGGGGCUCACACAAGCGGUGGAGCAUGUUGCUUAAUUCGAUGCAACGCGAAGAACCUUAUCCUGGACUUGACAUGUUAGGAUGCCUCCCUGGAAACAGGGUUGGUUGCCCUUCGGGGUGAAACUUUCACAGGUGCUGCAUGGCUGUCGUCAGCUCGUGUCGUGAGAUGUUGGGUUAAGUCCCGUAACGAGCGAAACCCUUGUCGUUAGUUGCCAGCGCGUAAUGGCGGGGACUCUAGCGAGACUGCCGGUGUUAAACCGGAGGAAGGUGGGGAUGACGUCAAGUCCUCAUGGCACUUUAUGUCCAGGGCUGCAAACGUGCUA
rnacentral:rRNA from 1 species